rnacentral:rRNA from 1 species
GACGAACGCUGGCGGCGUGCUUAACACAUGCAAGUCGAACGGAAAGGCCCUGCUGUUGUGGGGUGCUCGAGUGGCGAACGGGUGAGUAACACGUGAGUAACCUGCCCUUGACUAUGGGAUAACUUCAGGAAACUGGGGCUAAUACCGGAUAGGAGCUCCUGCUGCAUGGUGGGGGUUGGAAAGUUUCGGCGGGUGGGGAUGGACUCGCGGCUUAUCAGCUAGUUGGUGGGGUAGUGGCUUACCAAGGCUUUGGCGGGUAGCCGGCAUGAGAGGGGGACCGGCCACAUUGGGACUGAGAUACGGCCCAGACUCCUACGGGAGGCAGCAGUGGGGAAUAUUGCACAAUGGGCGGAAGCCUGAUGCAGCAACGCCGCGUGCGGGAUGACGGCCUUCGGGUUGUAAACCGCUUUCGCCUGUGACGAAGCGUGAGUGACGGUAAUGGGUAAAGAAGCACCGGCUAACUACGUG